CCGGACCGGCGCACGGGUGAGUAACACGUAUGGAACCUGCCGCAGCAGGGGGAUAAGCGGAAGAAAUUCCGUCUAAUACCGCGUAACACCGCAGAGGGGCAUCCCUCGGCGGUUAAAGAUUCAUCGGCUGCGGAUGGCCAUGCGGCGCAUUAGCUAGUCGGCGGGGUAACGGCCCACCGAGGCGACGAUGCGUAGGGGUUCUGAGAGGAAGGUCCCCCACACUGGUACUGAGACACGGACCAGACUCCUACGGGAGGCAGCAG
rnacentral:rRNA from 1 species